UCCUAGCAAUGUCUGACUGGAGCCUGUCC
rnacentral:piRNA from 1 species